rnacentral:rRNA from 1 species
AUGGUAGGAUAGAGGCCUACCAUGGUGGUAACGGGUAACGGGGUGUUAGGGCACGACACCGGAGAGGGAGCCUGAGAAACGGCUACCACAUCCAAGGAAGGCAGCAGGCGCGCAAAUUACCCAGUCCCGACACGGGGAGGUAGUGACAAUAAAUAACAAUACAGGGUUCUUUGAAUCUUGUAAUUGGAAUGAGUACAAUUUAAAUCUCUUAACGAGGAACAAUUGGAGGGCAAGUCUGGUGCCAGCAGCCGCGGUAAUUCCAGCUCCAAUAGCGUAUAUNAAAGUUGUUGCAGUUAAAAAGCUCGUAGUUGAAUUUCGGGAUCAAUACGUCGGUCGUGCUUUCGGGUACGUACUGGCGUCAUUGGUUUCUCCUUUCUGACGAACCAUGAUGUCAUUAAUUUGGUGUUAUGGGGAGUUAGGACUGUUACUUUGAAAAAAUUAGAGUGUUUAAAGCAGGCAUUAGCUUGAAUACAUUAGCAUGGAAUAAUGAAAUAGGACGUUCGAUCCUAUUUUGUUGGUUUCUAGGAUCAACGUAAUGAUUAAUAGGGAUAGUUGGGGGCAUUAGUAUUCAAUUGUCAGAGGUGAAAUUCUUGGAUUUAUUGAAGACUAACUACUGCGAAAGCAUUUGCCAAGGAUGUUUUCAUUAAUCAAGAACGAAAGUUAGGGGAUCGAAGACGAUCAGAUACCGUCGUAGUCUUAACCAUAAACUAUGCCGACUAGGGAUCGGAUGAUGUUAAUUUUUUAAUGACUCAUUCGGCGCCUUACGGGAAACCAAAGUGUUUGGG